UACAGAGGUCUCAAGCGUUGUUCGGAUUCAUUGGGCGUAAAGGGCGCGUAGGCGGGCAGGCAAGUCGAAGGUGAAAUCCCACGGCUCAACCGUGGAAGUGCCCCCGAUACUGCCUGUCUCGAGGGAGAUAGGGGCGUGCGGAACUUCCGGUGGAGCGGUGAAAUGCGUAGAUAUCGGAAGGAACACCGGGUGGCGAAAGCGGCGCGCUGGAUCUCUUCUGACGCUGAUGCGCGAAAGCCAGGGGA
rnacentral:rRNA from 1 species